rnacentral:rRNA from 1 species
AUUGAACGCUAGCGGGAUGCCUUACACAUGCAAGUCGAACGGAGUGGCGAACGGGUGAGUAAUGUAUCGGAACGUGCCCAGUAGCGGGGGAUAACUACGCGAAAGCGUAGCUAAUACCGCAUACUAUUGGAGCGGCCGAUAUCGGAUUAGCUAGUUGGUGGGGUAACGGCUCACCAAGGCGACGAUCCGUAGCUGGUUUGAGAGGACGACCAGCCACAAUGGGACUGAGAAACGGCCCAGACGCCUACGGGAGGCAGCAGUGGGGAAUGUUGGACAAUGGGGGAAACCAUGAGCCAGCCAUCCCGCGUGUGCGAUGAAGGCCUUAGGGUUGUAAAGCACUUUAAGUUGGGAGGCGUUACCAAAAGAAUAAGCACCGGCUAACUUCGUGCCAGCCGCCGCGGUAAUUC